CACAGGGAGAAGGGGAGGGGGUGUCCGAGGCGACCUGAACGCGAGGAUUUGGGGCAAAAAGGCACUUCAAAUGAUAAUGAUGCUCUAAUUUGCAUGCAUUGUUGGAGGAGUCAUCCAGUUGCUGGCUUGAUCCCUGCUAAAAGAGCAUACCAGCUGCAAAUUGACAGAAGAAUCUGAUACACGUGAAGAUGGGGACUUGGAGGCUUUAUCUGGAGCUGCAGCUACCAGGAGCCCCCUUCUGGUCUUCUCCAAGAACUGCACCUUGGCUUCAUGGCCUUACCUUGGCACCUGGAACAUGGACUCCUUCAGUAUCUUCCAGUACCUG
ensembl:lncRNA novel transcript, antisense to RFX2